rnacentral:rRNA from 1 species
CCUACGGGUGGCAGCAGUGGGGGAUAUUGCACAAUGGGGGGAACCCUGAUGCAGCGACGCCGCGUGGGUGAAGAAGCGCCUCGGCGCGUAAAGCCCUGUCAGCAGGGAAGAAAAUGACGGUACCUGAAGAAGAAGACUCGGCUAACUACGUGCCAGCAGCCGCGGUAAUACGUAGGGGGCAAGCGUUAUCCGGAUUUAUUGGGUUUAAAGGGUGCGUAGGGGGUAUUUUAAGUUAGUGGUAAAACGUCGGGGCUACAACUUGUUUGGCCAUUAAAACUGGAGUACUAGAGUACAGACGAGGUAGGCGGAAUAAGUUAGGUAGCGGUGAAAUGCUUAGAUAUAACUUAGAACCCCGAUAGCGAAGGCAGCUUACCAGACUGUUACUGACGCUGAGGCACGAGAGCGUGGGUAGCGAACAGGAUUAGAUACCCUAGUAGUC